UCCGUAGGCGGGCAAUUAAGUCAGAGGUGAAAUCCCACAGCUCAACUGUGGAACUGCCUUUGAUACUGGUUGUCUUGAGUUAUAGUGAAGUAGAUAGAAUAUGUAGUGUAGCGGUGAAAUGCAUAGAUAUUACAUAGAAUACCGAUUGCGAAGGCAGUCUACUAACUGUAUACUAACGCUAAUGGACGAAAGCGUGGGGAGCGAACAGGAUUAGAUACCCUGGUAGUCC
rnacentral:rRNA from 1 species